rnacentral:rRNA from 1 species
UACGUAGGGUGCAAGCGUUAAUCGGAAUUACUGGGCGUAAAGCGUGCGCAGGCGGUUCUAUAAGACAGAUGUGAAAUCCCCGGGCUCAACCUGGGAACUGCAUUUGUGACUGUAGAGCUGGAGUGCGGCAGAGGGGGAUGGAAUUCCGGCGUGUAGCAGUGAAAUGCGUAGAUAUGCGGAGGAACACCGAUGGCGAAGGCAAUCCCCUGGGCCUGCACUGACGCUCCAUGCACGAAAGCGUGGGAGCAA